CUUUUGUUUCAGCUUAACUGGAAUCCCUGAUGUACAGGGAAUAAAAUGUACAGCACAUGUGAGUGCCCUGAUCCCUCAUGGGCUCAGACCAUAGGAAGAGGCAUUUGGGUCAACGUCAGCAUAAAGGACCUGGCAUGGAUGGUGGCUAUUACAGGAACAGCCUGGAGGGCUGCGCUCCACCCCAGCUCUGAUGGAGCCCUACACCUUCGCAGGAAGCCAAGGGCUCCCCUUCCUCCUGCCAGGGAGAUGUGGCUCUAGCUUUGUGUCUCAGCAUCCAGGCCUGGCUGCAGCUGAGGCAGGCAGUGAGAUGUGGCCUGCCACCAGGAAGAGUGAUUCUGAGGUGGGCUUGGAGAGUGGUCUCAAAGGAGGAAUUUUCGGCUGCUUUGGAGGCAAAGAGUUUGUACAUAUGUCUCCCUCUUGCUCCCUGGGUUUGGGUCACAGUUAGGAAUGGCGGCAGGAGGGUAGUAACCCUACUGAUGAAGGACCAGACAAGUGGCAGAGGGGCUGCAUCAAGACUCAACCAUUGUGAGGUGGCUCCACCUGAAAUCAUGAGACUGGCUUAAAAAUCAUGGGAUCUUAAAUAAUAACAAAUCCUGGGGCUCUCUAUUUGCUUCCCAAUGUCUGAGUUAUUGGGGGUACUUUUUUCUAUCUCUUCUUCUUGACUCAAAAGCCAGACAUUUCCUCUUAAAAAAAUAAAGAAAGAAAACUAAGGGUCUCCCAGGACCCCAGGUGUUAGAGCUUGAAGAAAAGCACAAUCAAGAGACUUGUGAUGAACAUCACCAGUAUUGCCAGCCCUCGAAGCGAGAGGAACGGAAACCUUAUUGUCCUAGCUGGGAGACUUGGGGAACUAGAGAUGGUCAGGAAGCCUGCAAGGCAUAGAGCAAAGAGAGAGAGAGUGUCCUGGCUGACUGCAAAGGGUCCUUUUGCUCCUGAAAGGUCACGGCGGAAAUGGCUCGGGUGGCCUUGGGGCAUUAAUAAUUUAGGGCUCUUCUCUGCAAGACAAAGUGUCCAGGACUCCCUCCCCCCAUCCCCUGUCUCUUCAUGCAGCUAAACAAUCAAAGCUUUUCAAGUAGCAGAGGGGUGGGUGGUGGCCGUGCGUCUCUCUCCCUUCCGCGGGCAGCCUUCAGGAGGUGAGGUCACCGUGCCGCCAGCCCCAUUGCUCACACUGCCCGGCAUUGUUCAUUGUGGCUGGAGCCUGGGUUGGGCGGGGAGAGCAAGUGCACACAACGCUGUGCAGGCCUGGAGUGUACAGAAAGGUUGGGGAGGGAUGAAAAUGGAACCCAGGAGUCCUGACUCCUCAGGCCUGCCCUCCGUCCCCGUCUAGCUUGAGGAUCCAGAAGCAUGCUAGAAGCCUCCUUCCAAGCAGAAACAGCAAAGGCCUUCCUCAGGAAAGGACUCAACACAGGAAGGCAGAGGAAAAUAUGAAUACAGAGCCCAGAGUCCCACCAAGGUGAUAACUGACAGGUGAGCAGAGAUAUUGUAAGGAUGGGGGGAGGGAAGAUUGUGCCAGGAAGAUCAUUUCGCUGCAACCAGCCAAGGUGUAAGAAGAGAUAAGGAAUGGGCACGGAUGGCAGUAAGGGAGGUGCAGGAGGCAGGUGACUGCAGGGCUCCAUCUCUGUGCCACCACUGUGAAACCGGAGCAAAGCCCAUUGAGGCUGAAAUUGGCAGCUGGUUUCAAGCAUGUUCUUUCUGGGGGUGGGGGAUAAUCCUGCUAGACAGGUAGACCCCUCCAUCCCUGCUUUCCCAGAAUGGGGGUGGCUGGGAAGAAUGUGUAAUGUACAAAUCACAGGAAAAUGCAAACCUGAAUGGAAAUGGAAAGAGACAGGACAAUGGUGGCAGCCACUUUGCCUACUGGUUCUGUGGUUUGUGAAGCUAUCCAAGGGUAGCAGUCCUUACACCUUGUAGUCAGGCCACAUGCUUCCUGCCAGAACACUCCUAGCUUCCAGGAACAAGUGCUUGGUUACACUGGGACCCAAAUGCAUUGUCUUGAAACUCUCUGUGUGGAGAAAGACACAGGUGCCUCACCUAAGUUGCUGUGCAGGGCCAUGCCUUGCCUGGGCUGGUCGUCUUGUCUGUAAAAGCACCUGAUGAUAUCUGCUGUGCACAUGUUUGUUUCCAAACUGUGCAAGCCAUGAGUAAUGCCACAGUCAUAUUUGGCUCUGCUCUGGCAGCUUUCAUCUGAAGCUUUCAAAGCUCUUUGCAAAUAUGAGGCAGCCAGAAGGCCUCUGAUAAUUAAAAAUGGAAAAUAGAACGCUUUGUGUUCCUAGUAACACCUUCUGUGGGAGGAUCGCAAAGCACAUUCCAGCAGUAAUGAAUAAAUCCUCCCCCUUUGCCGGAAGGGAGGUGAGUCUCAUUAUCCUCAUUUGAGCAGGGAAGAAGAAGAAGAAGCGAAUGUGGGUAUUUAGGGACAAUAUUUUCAAAAGUGUCCAGGGAUUGUGGGUGUUCAACUUAAGACUCCUUGGCCUGCUUUUUCCAAGGUGAUUAUGCAACUCCUGUGAAAAUCAGGGCAAUGAUCUGAGCACCCAGAAAUUGAUGUGCCUGAAAUCAGAGACUGACAUUGGGGAAAUUUUGUGGCUGAAGUGACCUGCCUGAGUCCCUUGAGGAAUCAAUGACAGAUCAAGGAAUAGAAGGCAGGCUCCUGACUCCCAGUUUGAA